rnacentral:rRNA from 1 species
CUCCAUCAUAUACCCCGACUGAAGAAUCAAGCAGCUGAUGAUCUAGCAAAGAUAGGUUCCAAGAGAGAAGCCAUUCCGAGUGGUGUGUUCUUGGAGCAUAUACAUACUCCGUCAGUCAAAGAAGACCCUUUCACCGAAGAAACUCCGCAGCCUAAGAGCGCCACAGAUCCGACUGAAGUGGUAGUCCCAGCAGUGGUCGACUUGAUCAUGGAGGUUUUGGUGGUCAUUCCCGACUGGACGAUUCCGUAUGUCGCAUAUAUCUUGAGGAAAGAGCUUCCGGAGAAUGAGGAAGAGGCUCGACAGAUCGUCCGUCGAUCUAAAGCCUUUACCGUAAUCAAAGGACAAUUAUACAGAGAAAGUGCGACUGGAGUCGGCCAGAAGUGCAUAAUGCCA